GCACAAGCGGCGGAGCAUGUGGAUUAAUUCGAUGCAACGCGAAGAACCUUACCUGGGUUUGACAUAUACCGGAAAGCUGCAGAGAUGUGGCCCCCCUUGUGGUCGGUAUACAGGUGGUGCAUGGCUGUCGUCAGCUCGUGUCGUGAGAUGUUGGGUUAAGUCCCGCAACGAGCGCAACCCUAUCUUAUGUUGCCAGCACGUUAUGGUGGGGACUCGUAAGAGACUGCCGGGGUCAACUCGGAGGAAGGUGGGGACGACGUCAAGUCAUCAUGCCCCUUAUGUCCAGGGCUUCACACAUGCUACAAUGGCCAGUACAGAGGGCUGCGAGACCGUGAGGUGGAGCGAAUCCCUUAAAGCUGGUCUCAGUUCGGAUCGGGGUCUGCAACUCGACCCCGUGAAGCUGGAAUCGCUAGUAAUCGCGCAUCAGCCAUGGCGCGGUGAAUACGUUCCCGGGCCUU
rnacentral:rRNA from 1 species